UAGGGAAUAUUGGACAAUGGGCGCAAGCCUGAUCCAGCCAUGCCGCGUGAGUGAAGAAGGCCCUCGGGUUGUAAAGCUCUUUUGUCCGGAAAGAAAAGCAUUCGGUUAAUACCCGGGUGUUCUGACGGUACCGGAAGACUAAGCACCGGCUAACUUCGUGCCAGCAGCCGCGGUAAUACGAAGGGUGCAAGCGUUACUCGGAAUUACUGGGCGUAAAGCGUGCGUAGGUGGUUUGUUAAGUCUGAUGUGAAAGCCCUGGGCUCAACCUGGGAAUGGCACUGGAUACUGGCAAGCUAGAGUGUGGCAGGGGGUAGUGGAAUUCCUGGGGGAGGAGUGAAAGGCGUAGAAAUCAGGAGGAAUAUCCUUGGCGAAGGCGACUGCCUGGGCCAACACUGACACUGAGGCACGAAAGCGUGGGGAGCAAACAGGA
rnacentral:rRNA from 1 species